rnacentral:misc_RNA from 1 species
GAUGAAGAACGUAGCGAAAUGCGAUAAGUAAUGCGAAUUGCAGAAUCCGUGAAUCAUCGAAUCUUUGAACGCACAUUGCGCCCGCCAGUAUUCUGGCGGGCAUGCCUGUUCGAGCGUCAUUACAACCCUCAGGCCCCCGGGCCUGGCGUUGGGGAUCGGCGGAGCCCCCCGUGGGCACACGCCGUCCCCCAAAUGCAGUGGCGGUCCCGCCGCAGCUUCCAUCGCGUAGUAGCUAACACCUCGCGACUGGAGAGCGGCGCGGCCACGCCGUAAAACACCCAACUCUUCUGAAGUUGACCUCGAAUCAGGUAGGAAUACCCGCUGAACUUAAGCAUAUCAAUAAGCGGAGGA